rnacentral:rRNA from 1 species
GACGAACGCUGGCGGCGUGCUUAACACAUGCAAGUCGAGCGGUAAGGCCCUUUCGGGGGUACGACGAGCGGCGAACGGGUGAGUAACACGUGGGUGACCUGCCCUCAGCUCUGGGAUAAGCCUGGGAAACUGGGUCUAAUACUGGAUAUGACUCCACGGUGCAUGUCGUGGGGUGGAAAGCCUUGUGCGGCUGAGGAUGGGCCCGCGGCCUAUCAGCUUGUUGGUGGGGUGANGGCCUACCAAGGCGACGACGGGUAGCCGGCCUGAGAGGGCGACCAGCCACACUGGGACUGAGACACGGCCCAGACUCCUACGGGAGGCAGCAGUGGGGAAUCUUGUGCAAUGGGCGAAAGCCUGACGCAGCGACGCCGCGUGAGGGAUGACGGCC